rnacentral:rRNA from 1 species
GCCAGCCCGCUCAGAACUUAAAGGAAUUGACGGGGGCCCGCACAAGCGGUGGAGCAUGUGGUUAAUUCGAAGCAACGCGAAGAACCUUACCAGGCCUUGACAUGCAGAGAACUUUCCAGAGAUGGAUUGGUGCCUUCGGGAACUCUGACACAGGUGCUGCAUGGCUGUCGUCAGCUCGUGUCGUGAGAUGUUGGGUUAAGUCCCGUAACGAGCGCAACCCUUGUCCUUAGUUACCAGCACGUUAUGGUGGGCACUCUAAGGAGACUGCCGGUGACAAACCGGAGGAAGGUGGGGAUGACGUCAAGUCCUCAUGGCCUUUAUGACCAGGGCUACACACGUACUACAAUGGCCGAUACAAAGGGCAGCGACACUGCGAGGUGAAGCCAAUCCCGUAAAAUCGGUCUCAGUCCGGAUUGGAGUCUGCAACUCGACUCCAUGAAGUUGGAAUCGCUAGUAAUCGUGGAUCAGCAUGCCACGGUGAAUACGUUCCCGGGCCUU